AUUGAACGCUGGCGGCAUGCCUUACACAUGCAAGUCGAACGGUAACAGGUUAAGCUGACGAGUGGCGAACGGGUGAGUAAUGUAUCGGAACGUGCCCAGUCGUGGGGGAUAACUGCUCGAAAGAGCAGCUAAUACCGCAUACGACCUGAGGGUGAAAGCGGGGGAUCGCAAGACCUCGCGCGAUUGGAGCGGCCGAUAUCAGAUUAGGUAGUUGGUGAGGUAAAGGCUCACCAAGCCGACGAUCUGUAGCUGGUCUGAGAGGACGACCAGCCAACCUGGGACUGAGACACGGCCCGGACUCCACCGGGAGGCAGCAGUGGGGAAUUUUGGACAAUGGGCGCAAGCCUGAUCCAGCCAUACCGCGUGCGGGAAGAAGGCCUUCGGGUUGUAAACCGCUUUUGUCAGGGAAGAAGAGGUUCUGGCUAAUACCUGGGACUCAUGACGGUACCUGAAGAAUAAGCACCGGCUAACUACGUGCCAGCCGCCGCCGUAAGAC
rnacentral:rRNA from 1 species